rnacentral:rRNA from 1 species
UACGUAGGGUGCGAGCGUUGUCCGGAAUUAUUGGGCGUAAAGAGCUUGUAGGCGGUUUGUCGCGUCUGCCGUGAAAAUCCGAGGCUCAACCUCGGACUUGCGGUGGGUACGGGCAGACUAGAGUGUGGUAGGGGAGAUCGGAAUUCCUGGUGUAGCGGUGAAAUGCGCAGAUAUCAGGAGGAACACCGGUGGCGAAGGCGGAUCUCUGGGCCUUACCUGACGCUCAGGCACGAAAGCUAGGGGAGCGAACAGG